rnacentral:lncRNA from 1 species
UAAAUAUAGGCAAGCGAGACAAGGUUUAGGAAUGUCUUUAUAAGGAAUCAAGAAAGCAUCGAGCACAACUGAGAAUAAAGAGAGAUGGGGUUGGGUUAUAAGCUUACUGCUAUUGAUAAAAGGAACAUGAUGCAAGAAAAGAAAGAAAAAAAUGGCACGCCUCAAAAGGAAUGAAUCAGUUAAUGAAAGAAUGGUGUUUCUUAUCUGUACAAGACAUUUCAAUCCAACGGAUAUAUUCAUCUUUAAUCAUCAAAGGUUGAAAAGGGUGAGUCAGCAAUGGGAUUAGAGAAAGCCUUUUUUUUAAGUUUAUAUUGGGACAGAUGAG